rnacentral:rRNA from 1 species
UACGUAGGGUGCAAGCGUUAAUCGGAAUUACUGGGCGUAAAGCGUGCGCAGGCGGUGAUGUAAGACAGGUGUGAAAUCCCCGGGCUUAACCUGGGAACUGCAUUUGUGACUGCAUCGCUGGAGUGCGGCAGAGGGGGAUGGAAUUCCGCGUGUAGCAGUGAAAUGCGUAGAUAUGUGGAGGAACACCGAUGGCGAAGGCAGCCCCCUGGGCUAACACUGACGCUCAUGCACGAAAGCGUGGGGAGCAAACAGG